rnacentral:rRNA from 1 species
ACACGUAGAUAAUUUGCCCUUAGGUGGAGGAUACCCUCGGGAAACUGAGAAUAAUACUCCAUAGAUCUAGACUGCUGGAAUGCUUUUAGAUUGAAAGACUUAUCGCCUAAGGAUAAGUCUGCGGACUAUCAGGUUGUAGUCAGGGUAACUACCUGACUAGCCUACGACGGAUACGGGUAGUGAGAGCUUUAGCCCGGAGAUGAUAUCUGAGACACGAUAUCAGGCCCUACGGGGCGCAGCAGGCGCGAAAACUUCGCACUGUGCGAAAGCACGACGAGGGAAUCCCAAGUGCUGGCUCGUAAGAGUCAGCUGUUUCUCUGUCUAAAAAACAGAGAGAGUAAGAGCUGGGUAAGACGGGUGCCAGCCGCCGCGGUAAUACCUGCAGCUCAAGUGGUGGUCGCUAUUAUUGGGCCUAAAACGUCCGUAGCCGGUUCUAUAAAUGCCUGGGUAAAUCGUACGGCUUAACCGUACGAAUUCCGGGUAGACUGUUCAACUUGGGACCGGGAGAGGCUAGAGGUACUCCUGGGGUAGA